rnacentral:ncRNA from 1 species
CACAGGUGCGCCCCCAUUCCGGGGCGUAAAAGGGAAGCCGGGUGAAAUUCCCGCGCAGGGCCGCUGCUGUAAUUGCGGAGUCCCGCCUAUAUGCCACUGGAGCAAUCCGGGAAGGCCGGCGGAGAUGAGGAUGCAUAAGUCAGAAAACCUGCCUGUCG